rnacentral:rRNA from 1 species
CUACGGGGUGCUCCAGGCGCGAAACCUUUACAAUGCACGCAAGUGUGAUAAGGGAAUCCCAAGUGCUUUACUUAUGUAAGGCUUUUGCCAAGAGCAAAUAUCUUGGCGAAUAAGUGGUGGGCAAGACUGGUGCCAGCAGCCGCGGUAAUCCCAGCGCCACGAGUAGCAAUCACCAUUAUUGGGCCUAAAGCGUCCGUAGCCGGUUUAGUAAGUCUUUUGUGAAAUUGUUGUGCUCAACGCAACACUGUGCAAAAGAUACUGUUAAACUUGGAACUGGGAGGAGUUAGGGGUAUUCCGAGGGGAGCGGUAAAAUGCUAUAAUCCUUGGAGGACCACCGGUGGCGAAAGCGCCUAACUAGAACAGAUUCGACGGUGAGGGACGAAAGCCAGGGGAGCAAACCGGAUUAGAUACCCUUGUAGUC